rnacentral:rRNA from 1 species
UGGUGCACCAUACCAGCACUAACGCGCCGGAUCCCAUCAGAAGUCCGAAGUUAAGCGUGCUCGGGUGAGAGUAGAACUAGGAUGGGUGACCCCGUGGGACGUUCUCGUGUUGCAACCC